UACGGAGGGAGCUAGCGUUGUUCGGAAUUACUGGGCGUAAAGCGCACGUAGGCGGCGAUUCAAGUCAGAGGUGAAAGCCCGGGGCUCAACCCCGGAACUCCCUUUGAAACUAGAUUGCUAGAAUCCUGGAGAGGUUAGUGGAAUUCCGAGUGUAGAGGUGAAAUUCGUAGAUAUUCGGAAGAACACCAGUGGCGAAGGCGACUAACUGGACAGGUAUUGACGCUGAGGUGCGAAAGCGUGGGGAGCAAACAGG
rnacentral:rRNA from 1 species